rnacentral:rRNA from 1 species
GAUGAACGCUGGCGGCGUGCCUAAUACAUGCAAGUCGAGCGAACAGAUAAGGAGCUUGCUCCUUUGAAGUUGGCGGCGGACGGGUGAGUAACACGUGGGUAACCUACCUAUAAGACUGGGAUAACUUCGGGAAACCGGAGCUAAUACCGGAUAACAUUUAGAACCGCAUGGUUCUAAAGUGAAAGAUGGUUUUGCUAUCACUUAUAGAUGGACCCGCGCCGUAUUAGCUAGUUGGUAAGGUAACGGCUUACCAAGGCGACGAUACGUAGCCGACCUGAGAGGGUGAUCGGCCACACUGGAACUGAGACACGGUCCAGACUCCUACGGGAGGCAGCAGUAGGGAAUCUUCCGCAAUGGGCGAAAGCCUGACGGAGCAACGCCGCGUGAGUGAUGAAGGGUUUCGGCUCGUAAAACUCUGUUAUUAGGGAAGAACAAAUGUGUAAGUAACUGUGCACAUCUUGACGGUACCUAAUCAGAAAGCCACGGCUAACUACGUG